rnacentral:rRNA from 1 species
ACUCUGCUCAGAUUGAACGCUGGCGGCAGGCCUAACACAUGCAAGUCGAGCGGUAGAGAGAAGCUUGCUUCUCUUGAGAGCGGCGGACGGGUGAGUAAUGCCUAGGAAUCUGCCUGGUAGUGGGGGAUAACGUUCGGAAACGGACGCUAAUACCGCAUACGUCCUACGGGAGAAAGCAGGGGACCUUCGGGCCUUGCGCUAUCAGAUGAGCCUAGGUCGGAUUAGCUAGUUGGUGAGGUAAUGGCUCACCAAGGCGACGAUCCGUAACUGGUCUGAGAGGAUGAUCAGUCACACUGGAACUGAGACACGGUCCAGACUCCUACGGGAGGCAGCAGUGGGGAAUAUUGGACAAUGGGCGAAAGCCUGAUCCAGCCAUGCCGCGUGUGUGAAGAAGGUCUUCGGAUUGUAAAGCACUUUAAGUUGGGAGGAAGGGCAGUAAAUUAAUACUUUGCUGUUUUGACGUUACCGACAGAAUAAGCACCGGCUAACUCUGUGCCAGCAGCCGCGGUAAUACAGAGGGUGCAAGCGUUAAUCGGAAUUACUGGGCGUAAAGCGCGCGUAGGUGGUUCGUUAAGUUGGAUGUGAAAUCCCCGGGCUCAACCUGGGAACUGCAUUCAAAACUGACGAGCUAGAGUAUGGUAGAGGGUGGUGGAAUUUCCUGUGUAGCGGUGAAAUGCGUAGAUAUAGGAAGGAACACCAGUGGCGAAGGCGACCACCUGGACUGAUACUGACACUGAGGUGCGAAAGCGUGGGGAGCAAACAGGAUUAGAUACCCUGGUAGUCCACGCCGUAAACGAUGUCAACUAGCCGUUGGGAGCCUUGAGCUCUUAGUGGCGCAGCUAACGCAUUAAGUGACCGCC